UUAUUGUAUUGGAAUCAAAACUGAGGAUUAAUCUGCUCAAUAAGCAGAAUCUGAAUUGAUCAUUCAAAUGAUACCCAACCCUUCUUGCUGCUUGUUGUGGUUUGUUGAUUAAAGCCAGAUUCAGAUGACUAGAAGAGAUGGGGUUUGUACUUAUUUUAUUUUCUGGUCAUUUGUUGCACGUGGUUGAGAUUGAGCUUCUCUGUAUUUUCCUGAACUUGGUUUGUAGUGACUCAUUUCUUGAUUGGAUCAAACCGUUAUUUCUUCUUGUUUGACAGUGAUGUAAUCCUGAAUGAGAAGAGCGCCAGCUGCUUUCUCCACUUGGCUGCUCCAGACACACACAGAUAACAGCAGCUGAUGACCGCAGGAGAGUUCACACACUGAAGGGAUCAUCAAACCACUGAAGAUGAGCUGGAAAGUGUGAAGCCCAACUGUUGAACAUCUGUUGUUUUAGAAGCAUGAAUAAAUCAUGAUAUAACUGAAAUGUUUAAUGGAAUAUACACACAGCUAUUGUGUGCUGUGCAGGUGUGGUUUAAGCUGUACUCCCUCUUGUAAUAUACUGGAGGCAACAGCACAACAGGCCCAUUAUCAUGUGUUAGGAUAUAUUUGUGUGUGUAUAAUUACUCCGUGCAACAACAAGAGGUAUUUUAGCAAUGUUUAAAAACAUCAUACAUGUAAGCGCUAUCUUAGCAUUGCAUGUUCACAGGGUGGUGUUGUUUUUCGUUUGUACUGAAAGGUUUGUGAAGUUUAAGUCAUUUUUAUAAAAUGUGAAAUGUGGUAUAGAAAAAGCCCAUUUUUGUAUCUGGUAUUUUCCUAAUAAAAAAUAAAUUGAUUUUUUUAAUCAAA